AGUGAACGCUGGCGGUAGGCCUAACACAUGCAAGUCGAACGGCAGCACAGUAAGAGCUUGCUCUUACGGGUGGCGAGUGGCGGACGGGUGAGGAAUACAUCGGAAUCUACUUUUUCGGGGGGGAUAACGUAGGGAAACUUACGCUAAUACCGCAUACGACCUACGGGUGAAAGCAGGGGAUCUUCGGACCUUGCGCGAUUGAAUGAGCCGCUGUCGGAGUAGCUAGUUGGCGGGGUAAAGGCCCACCAAGGCGACGAUCCGUAGCUGGUCUGGGAGGCUGAUCGGCCACAUUGGAACUGAGACACGGUCAAGAGUCCUACGAGAGGCAGCAGAGGGGAAUAUUGGACAAUGGGCGCAAGCCUGAUACAGCGAUACCGAGUGGGUGAAGAAGGCGCUGGGGUUGUAAAGACCUUUUGUUGGGAAAGAAAAGCUUCAGGUUAAGACCCCGCGGUUCUGACGGUACCGAAUGAAGAAGCACCGGCUAACUUCGUA
rnacentral:rRNA from 1 species